rnacentral:rRNA from 1 species
CCUACGUGAGGCAGCAGUGGGGAAUAUUGGACAAUGGGGGAAACCCUGAUGCAGCGACGCCGCGUGAGUGAAGACGUAAUUCGUUAUGUAAAGCUCUAUCUGCAGGGAAGAAAAUGACGGUACCUUAGUAAGAAGCCCCGGCUAACUACGUGCCAGCAGCCGCGUUAAUACGUAGGGGGCAAGCGUUAUCCGGAUUUACUGGGUGUAAAGGGAGCGUAGACGGCAGUGCAAGUCUGGAGUGAAAGGCGUGGGCGCAACCCCCGGACUGCUCUGGAAACUGUACGGCUGGAGUGCAGGAGAGGUAAGUGGAAUUCCUAGUGUAGCGGUGAAAUGCGUAGAUAUUAGGAGGAACACCAGUGGCGAAGGCGGCUUACUGGACUGUAACUGACGUGGAGGCUCGAAAGCGUGGGGAGCAAACAGGAUUAGAUACCCGGGUAGUC